rnacentral:misc_RNA from 1 species
UCGAGUACCGGUGCCCUCUAGGUGCCUACUCCCACCAUCUGCUUACCUUUAACCGUUGCUUUGGCGGUCCGAUACGUCGUAUCCUCCGGCCCCGCCUGGGGCGGGAGAGUGACCGCCAGAGACCUAUCAAACCCGUCUUAACCGUGCAAUCUGAGUACAACUUAAUAAGUUA